CCCAGCAUCAGGCUCUUCUCCAAUGAGCUGGCUGUCUCUUCGCAUGGGUGCUUGGGUAUCAGUAAAAGAACAAAUUUCUAAUCAAGGAGACAUGAUGUACUUUGUGUGGGUCUCAGAGUUUUGUGUGACUUCUGGCCAUCAGAACCAUCAUCUUAAUUCUCUGCCUCUGGUUCACGGAAUUUGCAGACUGCACCCUCUUCACCACCACUUUUGCUGCAGUUGUUGGGCUGGCUGGUCUGACUAAAAGGCCCCAGGCCUGGAGUCUCACAGGCUGUGUCCCUCCCUAACUUCUGGGCUUGGAUGAAAUGCUACAUCACACAGAAUGGAAUCUAGCCUUCCUGCAUGCACCGAAAGGCUUGCUGACACCACCCAGUAAUGUGGACUGGUGGCCUUUUAAGAUGCAGAAGAGGAGAGCAGCCAAGACGGUGGAACAGAAAGACCUUGAGCUCACCUCCUCUCACAAGCACACCACAAUCACAACUAUCUGAGAACAACCACUGAUGAAGGGCCUACAAUUUAAAGACGUACAGAAGGAGCCACAGUGAGACAGCAGUUUCUGUAUUCCAAAAAUUAUAAGAUGCUGGUGAAAGAAAUUGAAGACAACACAAACAAAUGGAAAGA